GAUGAACGCUGGCGGCGUGCCUAAUACAUGCAAGUCGAGCGAACAGAUAAGGAGCUUGCUCCUUUGACGUUAGCGGCGGACGGGUGAGUAACACGUGGGUAACCUACCUAUAAGACUGGUAUAACUCCGGGAAACCGGGGCUAAUGCCGGAUAACAUUUAGAACCGCAUGGUUCUAUAGUGAAAGACGGUUUUGCUGUCACUUAUAGAUGGAUCCGCGCCGUAUUAGCUAGUUGGUAAGGUAACGGCUUACCAAGGCAACGAUACGUAGCCGACCUGAGAGGGUGAUCGGCCACACUGGAACUGAGACACGGUCCAGACUCCUACGGGAGGCAGCAGUAGGGAAUCUUCCGCAAUGGGCGAAAGCCUGACGGAGCAACGCCGCGUGAGUGAUGAAGGUCUUCGGAUCGUAAAACUCUGUUAUUAGGGAAGAACAAAUGUGUAAGUAACUGUGCACGUCUUGACGGUACCUAAUCAGAAAGCCACGGCUAACUACGUG
rnacentral:rRNA from 1 species